rnacentral:lncRNA from 1 species
CACAUAUAAUCCUAAGAAACGGCGAUUGGUCCUAAGUGGUAACAACACUGCAUAGAAUAGUUUCUAGGACGACCGCACAGGUUGUUUUCAAGGUAAAAUAUUCACAUAUUUUAUCUUUCAUGAGAUCCUUCGGAGCCUUCAGCAGAAAUCAGUUACCGAAGUGGUGGAAAGUCUCAAAUAGCUUAAGGUUUAAAGGAGAUCCGAAGUUUACUGUGCACUUGUGGCACUUUCGCAAGUUGUAGGCUUACAGUUUAUGUGUAAACUUUCGUUCGUGAGCGAAAAAAAGCCAGUCAUUCUGGUGCAUGACUCUCGAAAAUUGGCAAGGAUUUGUUCUCUCUUCCUGAAAGCAGAUACUGUUUGGAAUCAGCAGAGCACCAUGUGGUCAGUCUUAGACGAGGUACUUUGCGUAGCAACAUUGAUCUAUUGUGGUAAGGACAAGGGCAACAGCAGUAGUGAAGGCAGAAUCGGGGGUGGAAUUGGAGGCGGAUGUGGAAGUGAACAAUGAGGUCCAAACAGAGGAAGGCCAAUCUUUCUGAAGUAACUCGUUUCAGAGUUAUAAAGCCUUCUUUUGAUUGUGAGCCUCUGCUAUACUCACCUACUGAAUCUGAGAAACAGCUGGAGCGUCAAUGUGGUUAGAAUCCUGAAUUAGAGCAAUGUUCAUGUUUCUUAAAUAGCACUACGGCGAGAAGAAUUGCAAAAUUGGGCUUACAAAUUCAUGCUGUUGCACUUCAGAGACAAAGAUGAGUUUCGCAAGUUUUAGUUAACCUGUGCAAGUAAUGGUCAAGUUUCGUUAAGAGAAUAUACAACGGAGAACCCUCAAACAUGGUUACACACCGUUAAGACAUGGCAGUAACAUUAUCG